UCCCCGGUAGUGUGACACGUAGCACACUUGUCUGUAAAACGAGAGGUGUGGGUUCGAAUCCCUCAUGGGAGG